UUACCGUCUCAGACCUGGAACCUGGAGAUCGAGUAUUGGUCAGGAAUGUCCGCAUCCGGGGAAAACACAAGAUCUCAGACAAAUGGGAACCCACUGUCCAUGUGGUGGUGAGAAGAGCAGGCACUCUCCCUGUAUACACUGUUAAACCUGAAAACGCGGAUGGUCCCCUAAGGACGCUACACAGGGACCUGUUGCUGCCGUGCGGGUACCUACCUGUGGAGGAAAAUAGUGAGCCUGUGCAAAAGCCGGUACCACGCAGGCCAGGAACUCGUGCAAACCCUGCUGUAGAGGAAGAGAAUUCCUCAGAUGAAGAGGAUGAUGCACUCAUUCCUGUUUGGUUAAGUUCCCCUGUCCCCAAGGUCAGUGAGAUUCCUGUGUACCCGGAUCUGUCCAUGACCGAUGUCCAAGACACUCGGCAUACUGAACCUCCAGGCGUUCGUCCUGUCGAGAGUCCUGUAAAUGCUCAAAAUGAUGACAAUCCACCUGAAUUUGACAAUCCAACCGAUCUUGACACCCAACCCGAUUUUGACAAUUUACCUGAUAUGUCCAAUAGUACUUCAGAUGGUCCUUUGAUGUACAUCAAGUUUAACUCUCAUCAGAGUGAUACUGAGUACUUAUCCGCCGAUAGAGUCACACCAACCGAGCAAGCCGAUGAACCAGCCUUGAUUCAAAAUGACUUACCUGAGGAUGAUAAUCCAGAUGUCCAAGGAGAACAACUUCCAGUUGAGGAAGAUGGUUUUAAAGGAGCAGAACUUGAGGAAGGAAAGGAUGGAACAAUCCCAAUGGAUACAGAGGAGAACACAGAUACAAAUGAUUCUGUCAGGAGAUCUGAAAGAAAUCGUCAACCACCACGACGGCUUGAUUAUACAGAGCUAGGAAAUCCUUUGAUCACAGCAGUGAAAUCAUUCUUUCAAGGACUGUCCACAGCUUGGGAAGAAGUCAUAAGAGAAGAAUCUGUCCAACCCCCUGCCCUGACCCCUCGAAUAAUUUUCCUUUAACUGUAUACUAUGCACAGGGACGUGCAUAAGUUCAGGAGGGGAGGGUGUAACCAGGUGUAAGAAACACUGUUAAUUUAGUACCAUAAAAGAAGAGAGACUGUUUACUUUAAUUAUCUUAUUUAUUUUGAAUGCACCGCUCAACUCGCAUGGUCCCACGUAGGGUACCUAGUUCUCAGCAGCCAAUCAGAAGCUACGCAGGCCACGCUCAGCCUGUCGGCUCGGAGAGGAAGUGCAGUCGCGUUGCUCUUCCAGUCUUUUCGGAUCUCAGCCAGAGAAGCGAGGGCAGCUGUGUGUUAAGGAGAAGAGGAAAACCAGAGAAAAAACCCAGAGUGAAACCUGUGAAAAAGGAAAAAGAGUCGGAGCACUUACCCAGUGGAGGUCCGGAGCCAAGUGGCUGAACGAAGGAGAGUUACGUCGGCUAACUGCUUGCCUGUCCUCCGGAGAGCUGCUACGAGGUUCGGCAUCGGCAUGCUCCACCUUGAUACACAGAGCAAUGGUCAGGUUUUUUAGAGGACUGAAGAGUCUGAGGUUCAGGACAACUUCCUGCUGUAAAAGAUGGCGAGCCAACUACCCUGAUUGAAGAUUAGCACCGAGGAGAUAUUCACGUACACACUCAUUCACACAAAUAAUACACUCACAUUACACUAC